AGUUUGAUCAUGGCUCAGAACGAACGCUGGCGGCGUGCUUAACACAUGCAAGUCGUACGAGAAACUGGAACUUUGGUUCUGGGAGUAAAGUGGCGCACGGGUGAGUAUCGCGUAGGUAAUCUACCCUUGGGUUUGGAAUAACCCGCCGAAAGGCGGACUAAUACCGGAUAAAAUCUUUCGGAGGGAUCUGAAAGAUCAAAGGUGGCCUCUCCAUGGAUGCUACUGCCUGAGGAUGAGCCUGCGUCCCAUUAGCUUGUUGGUAGGGUAAUGGCCUACCAAGGCUACGAUGGGUAGCUGGUCUGAGAGGAUGACCAGUCACACUGGAACUGGAACACGGUCCAGACUCCUACGGGAGGCAGCAGUGAGGAAUAUUGCGCAAUGGGGGAAACCCUGACGCAGCGACGCCGCGUGGGUGAAGAAGGCCUUCGGGUCGUAAAGCCCUGUCUAGAGGGAAGAAAUUCUCAAUGGAAUAAUACCCAUUGAGAUUGACGGUACCUCUGGAGGAAGCACCGGCUAACUCCGUGCCAGCAGCCGCGGUAAUACGGAGGGUGCGAGCGUUGUUCGGAAUUACUGGGCGUAAAGCGGGUGUAGGCGGUUUGUUAAGUCAGAUGUGAAAGCCCACGGCUCAACCGUGGAAGUGCAUCUGAAACUGGCUGACUUGAGUACCGGAGAGGGAAGUGGAAUUCCUGGUGUAGGGGUGAAAUCCGUAGAUAUCAGGAGGAACACCGGUGGCGAAGGCGACUUCCUGGACGGAUACUGACGCUGAGAUCCGAAAGCGUGGGGAGCAAACAGGAUUAGAUACCCUGGUAGUCCACGCCCUAAACGAUGGGCACUAGGUGCAGGGGGUGUUGACCCCUCCUGUGCCGCAGCUAACGCAUUAAGUGCCUACGAACUAGAGAAGACACGAC
rnacentral:rRNA from 1 species